CGUUUCGAAUAAGCCCGCGGAUUCCAAAUAUGGCGAUUGCUUGCAACGCAACUUCGUAACUUUUGUCUUACGAUAAUUCCUACGGUUAUCCGGCAAACUUGCGAUCUGGCUCGUGACGAUCAACAGUGAUGACACGCGUGUGCUCCUGAAAACAAUCAAUGAAGUGCACUGGCCGAAAAAGUGAACGGACUGGACAUUCGAAAUACACAACCGAUCGACGCAGCCGAGGCGAAAAUGGCAGCGUACACGCAACUGUUUGUUGUAAACACCAGUCCACAAGGAAGGCGCAAGGCGAAUUUCAGCCGGGCAGAAAUCGACGCGUUGGUCGCGGGGUACAAGACGUACAGGACCGUAAUCGAACGACGAUGUGCGGGUGUCUCCAAAAGUAGGAACGAAGCGUGGGAUUUGAUAACGCAGUCUCUUUUUGCCGUUUCUGGGGUGCGCCGAACAACGGCGGAGGUCAGGAAGAAAUGGGCGGACUUGAAAUCAUUAAACAAGAAAGGAGUCAGCUGCGGCGUUACAGCUGGGAACCUCCUUGCUGAAGCUUCCCUAUUCAAUAAUCGCAACGAGUUUGUAAUAGGAAUGCCCAUUGAAGAGUGUUUGCUCGGCAGCAGCACAGAAGCCCCAAGCAGCACAGGAGCUGAUGAGUCAAGUGAUAAUACGAAUACUAAUAUCGAUGUCAAACAAGAGCCUCCCAGCUCUCCCGGGGAGGCCUUCAGUGAUAACAGAUCAAGUGAUCCAGAGCCAGAACAUGAAGGCAGUGAUCUGCACAAAGAUGAGGAAGUUCCAUGCAAUAGCAGGUCAACCCAGACGAGUGAGCCGAGUUCACAAGACGCAGGCGGUGAAGUAGAAGAAGCAAGCGAGUUGCUGAAAACACAGAAGGAGAUACUUCACGUGCUCAAGCGCCUUGCUAAAGCUCAAGAAAGGCUUGUUCAGCUGAAAGCCUGGAAGUAUGGUGUGAAACUGACUGAGGACGGCAUUUCUGAUGAACCCAACAGGAAAAAUGGCCUCCUAGCUCCAACGUCAGCUCCAAAAUUGUGACCCCAUUUACAGUCUUGUUGAUCAUGUCUUGCCUUUUGACUCUCAAAGUACAAAACUUGACUGUGUUUCAUAGUGUAAUGUGUGCAAGAGCUCCUACUUUCGACCAUACAGCAUAUGUUGAUUGGCUAAGCCAGUGGGCCUCUCACUCUAAUUAGGUUUGCACCAGAUAUUUCGCUGUAAAGAUUUACUAUUCCGAAAAGUCAUUGUUCAUUUAUACAGCUUGGCCUUUUGUCCUGUAUAAACAACGCCUGCACAGCUGCCUUGCCUUCACGUAGUUUGACGUCCAUGCAGCCUUCACAAAGAGCCAACAUAUGGUUAUACCAUUUGAGAUAGGCUAGUUUUAUAUAUAUACUGAUUAUGGUAGCUCUAUUACAUACAGAGCAAGUGUAAAAGGUUCAUAAUAUAUGAUGAUUGUUACACGCAGCAUAUCUUGUUGCAGUGUGACCACAAACGGCCUGUAACUAAACAAAUCCUACAGCCUCAAUCUGGAUCAUUACGAAGUAUAUACGUAGUCACACUGAAGGCUUGUAACAUUGUUGCUGUGCUGAAUGUUUGUACAGCCAGUGUACAAAAUGCAUUGGUCUCUUUUCUGCUUUCAUAAGUGUCGUUUACCAUUAGUGUUGAAGUUGUAAGCGGCAUACCUUCCGUUUUGGUAAUCAUGCGUCUAAAGUCAGUGCAACCAGGGUGUCGGAACGAAAUGUUUUUCGUUUCGGUUUUAGUUUCGUUCCACCGCAAAAAGUU
rnacentral:misc_RNA from 1 species